rnacentral:rRNA from 1 species
CCGGGUGCCUAGUGGCGAACGGGUGAGUAACGCGUGGGAAUCUGCCCUGGAGUGGGGAACAACACGGGGAAACCUGUGCUAAUACCGGAUAAGUCCUUACGGAGAAAGUUUUAAUGCCAAAAGAUGAGCCCGCAUUUGAUUAGCUAGUUGGUGAGGUAAAAGCUCACCAAGGCGAUAAUCAAUAGCUGAUUUGAGAGGAUGAUCAGCCACACUGGGACUGAGACACGGCCCAGACUCC